CUGGCCCAUUUGUUAAUGGGUCAUUUGAAAUAUGAAAUGAUCAAUACCAAUAAUACUAAUAUAAUGAAAAAAAGAAAAACAUAUCAAUUGUCAAGUUGUAAUUACUUUUUAUUCUUUUAUCAACAUUGAAGUACUACUACAACAACUCAUUCAUCACAACUACAUAUAACUAAAAAUAUAGAAGAUGGAUAUAUAGAUUAAAACGAUAUAGCUUGGCAUGACGAUCGAUAUACCAUUGGCGGACUGUCGGCGGCCAGGCCGUUAGUAGGGACCUGUUAGAAAAAUACUGUUUUUUGUAAUGAAACUAAGUAGUCUUUCUCGCAUUUUAAAUAACUAGUUAGCAUGAUCGAUUAAUUAAGAUCACAAUAAAGAAGACAAGGAUCAAAAUAUGUGCGAACAAGAAGGGGAAAGUGGAGGAGAUGACAAAGGGUGAGAUGAAAAUGACGAUGUAGGGAUGUUGGAGAGUGGUGUAGUCGGAAGUGAUGGAGGCCGGAAAAGGUAAAGUUGAAGGUGAUUGGUAAGCGACACAUAUAUAUGUUAACAUUUACUUUUGCAAUUUGAAUUAUUAUGACGACACCUGCGUCUACAUCGAUGUCUAAAUAUUGUACAAUGCCGCUUACAUCUUCUAUAAUCCUUGUGGCAUCUUUCGAUCGAUGCAAUCAUAAUAAGGAGGAGGUGAAUGUGGUGGGUGGGGUGAAUGUGGUGGGUGGGGUGAAGGUGGAGGAGGCGAUUGAUGGAGGAGAAGGCGCGCGAUGGAGGGGGAGGCGAUUGUACUUAUUUCAUCAAAGUCUUUUGUUUUUCUUUUGAUCAUAUAUACCAACAAUGCUAAUGUAAUGAAAGAAACAAAAUAUAUAUGUCAAGUUGUAAUUAGUACUUCUUAUUCUUUUAUCAACAUUGAAGUAAUUCCACAACAACUCAAUCAUCACACAUAUAUAAACAAGAUAGAUUAAAACAAGAUAUAAAAUGACGAUCUAUCAUUUAGACAUUAAUUUGUGUAAAAUUUAGCAAGAUAGACAAACUAGCUAGGUAUGUAGUCUUUCUCACAUUUUAAAUAACUAGCAUGAUCGAUUUAAACCACAAUAAAGAAGACAUGCAUACGAUCAAGGAGGUGAAAGUGGAAGAGAUGAAGGAGGAUGAGUUGAAAAUGGAUGUGACGGAGGGGAGAGUCUACGAAGAUGGUGGAGAUCGAGUGACCAUUUAGGCGGAAGUGAUGGAGGGGAUCGAAGGUGAAGGUGGAAGGUGAUUGGGAAGUAAUACGUAAAAGUUUUUUAACAUUUAUUUUUACAACUGGAAAUCUUACGACGAACCUGAAACAACGACGCUUGCAUCUAUAUUAAAUCUUUUUGCAAGCUUUGUGGCAAUCAUUAUUAUUUGGAGGAGGUGGUGAUGGAAGAGGAGGUGGUGGGGGAGGAGGUGAUGGAGGAGGUGGUGAUGGAGGGGAAGGUGGCAGUUUAAUUAAUUUGUAACACUUAUAAAUACAAUGAAAAGUAAUCCCUCCACAAUCUACAAAGCAUUUUGUGAAGUCACAAUGGCAUAAAUACAAAGAUUAUUAUCUUGAGCACUUUCGACACUUGAUAUAAUUGAAAACGGUAGAACUAAGACGACUACAACAAGCAAUGUUUUCUGAUAACUUGAUAUAUAAAUUUCUGAUCAACAAUCCCCUCCUUUUAUACACACAUUCUGCCCUGAAUUUUAGGUUAAUUGUCGCGCAUAUUUCUUCAAUCUCUUCUAUAAUUGACAUCAAAAUCUUGCUAAAAUGGCAUUUUCAAUACCCCUUCCCAACAUCUAAUUUGAUAGGUUUUAAUAGGGUGGGCACAAAUAUUAUUUUUUAUCAUACUUUUUUUUUGAAACAGUUAAAAUUUUAUUAAAAAAUAAAGACAAUGCUCAAUUUACAAAGAGUAUAGAAAUAAAUAAAAGCUCAUUGACUCUCUUCCAUUAGUUAUGUAGUCUAGUUAUACAGUAAUUAUAUAGAAACGCUGCCACAGGAGGUUGGUCUCUCAUACUGCCUUCCAUCAUAGAUGUCUCCAAAGGGUGACAACAUUUCUUAUCAUACUUAUUUGGUAUUUCAACUUGCUUCUACAACCUCGCUUACUUAAUUAUGCUCCAAUCGUUCUAAUUAAUUUCCAAUAAUUUUUGUAUUGAGUGUUCAUAAGGACAACAAUUUUUGCAUAUACCAUGCCAAUAUUUAAUCUAUAAUAUUUAUUACUACUUUAGUUAUGUUCUACAUGUAGCCAAUUAGGGACCACUACAAGUAACGUCAAACCUUCACCCAUGACCAAGAUCAGUGGUCCUUUGACGAAAUCCUUGAAUUAGCCACGGGAUAUAUGGUCCGUGGGCAUAGGUCUAGUGGGUACGUAUUUUUAGUUACGAAAUUGAUAAUCCAUGACUAAAUAUUACUACUUUAUUUCUGUUCUACAUGUAGUCAAUUAGGGAUCAUUAACAUUUAAAAAAAAUCGAAGAAAUUUGGACAUUUAGAAGAAUUAAUAUUAGGAUAUAUACGGAUAUAAAAAUGUGAAUAUUUAGAUAUUUUUAUUUAUGCCCAUAACUAUAUUAUCACAAAUAUACAAUUUUUUGAUUAUUGGUGAAUCAAUCGUACAUUUAUUUAGUAAGAUUUCUGAUUUUUUUUUUUUAAAUUCAAAUUAAUUUCCUAAUCAUAGUUAAUUGAGAGUUAUUAAUAAGGUUAUUAUUAUCUUUCCGACUCUAAUUAAUUCUUUCAUUAUUAAUUUGAUUGUUAAAAUAUUUUUUUUUUUUUAAAUUUGACAUCCUAAAUGAAAAAAAUAAAGAUAUUUAAAUUAAUAUAUUAAAUGAGAACAUCUCAAAUCAAAUAAAUAUAUAGGAACAUUUAAAUUGUGUUAAAUAAAGACAUUUCAAAUUAGAAUACAUCGGUUGAAAUAUCAUUAGAUUCGCGAUUUAAUUUUCAAUAACUUUUAUUUUUAAUUUUUUAUUGAUUCAAUCACUGAGGUGUGAGUUAUUAUUCUUUUUUUAUAUGUAAAAUGACGUGGUGAAGAGAAAAAAUAACUUAAAUUUAAAUGUUUAACAUUUGAAAAUACUGAAUGUCUGUCCAUAUGAGACUCAACUUCUUCCUCUUCCAACAACCAAAAAUCUCACUCUCUAUUCUCCCUCCCAUCCCUAUGCCGACCGAUUCCAUAUGAGGCUCAACCGUUGAAAUACAAAUGAAUGGUAGAUUUCUACGAGACCUCAAAUGGAGAGAUGAGGCUCAACCUCAUUUGAAAUCUACCUUAUUUAUAUAUAUUAAUUGCAAAAGAAAAAGUAAAGGAAAAAGAUUACAAGCUGUUAACAUCUAAUCCAUAAAUCAUAACUAUUAAUUAUACUAAUUAUUCUAAGGUUGUAAUAUCAUUAUAAUGAUAAUAGAGAUAUGGGCUGGCCCAUUUGUUAUUGGGCCAUUUGAAACAUGAAAUGAUCAAUACCAAUAAUACUAAUGUAAUGAAAAAACAUGUCAUUACUUUUUAUUCUUUUAUCGAUCAACAUUGAAGUACUUCCACAACAACUCAGACAUCACAACUACAUAUAACUAAAAAUACAGAAGAUGGAUAUAUAUUUUAAAACGAUAUAGCUUGGAAUGACGAGCGAUAUACCAUUGGCGGAUUCGUGCAGCCUGUCGGCGGCCAGGCCGUCAGUAUGGACCUGUUAGAAAAAUACUGUUUUUUGUAGUGAAACUAAGUAGUCUUUCUCGCAUUUUAAAUAACUAGGUAGCAUGAUCGAUUAAUUAAGAUCACAAUAAAGAAGACAAGGAUCAAAAUAUGUGCGAUCAAGAUGAGGAAAGUGGAGGAGAUGACGAAGGGUGAGAUGAAAAUGGCGAUGUAGGGAUGUUGGAGAGAGAUCUAGUCGGAAGUCAUGAUGGAGGAAAAGGUGAAGGUUGAAGGUGAUUGGUAACUGGUAAGUGGCACAUGUAUGUUAACAUUUACUUUUGCAAUUUGAAUUAUUACGACGACACCUGCGUCUACAUCGAUGUCUAAAUAUUGUACAAUGCCGCUUGCAUAUUCUAUAAUCCUUGUGGCAUCUUUCGAUCGAUGCAAUCAUAAUAAGGAGGAGGUGAAUGUGGUGGGUGGGGUAGUGAAGGGUGGAGGAGGCGAUGGAGGAGGAGGCGCUCGAAGGUGGG
rnacentral:lncRNA from 1 species